CACGUAGGGUGCGAGCGUUGUCCGGAAUUAUUGGGCGUAAAGAGCUCGUAGGCGGUGUGUCGCGUCGGCCGUGAAAACCUGCAGCUUAACUGUGGGCUUGCGGUCGAUACGGGCAUCACUGGAGUUCGGCAGGGGAGACUGGAAUUCCUGGUGUAGCGGUGGAAUGCGCAGAUAUCAAGAGGAACACCUGAGGUGAAGACGGGUUGCUGGGCUGACACUGACGCUGAGUGCGCGAAAGCCAGGGGAGCGAACGGG
rnacentral:rRNA from 1 species